rnacentral:rRNA from 1 species
AUGGGAACGCGAAGAACCUUACCUACUCUUGACAUCCAGAGAACUUUCCAGAGAUGGAUUGGUGCCUUCGGGAACUCUGAGACAGGUGCUGCAUGGCUGUCGUCAGCUCGUGUUGUGAAAUGUUGGGUUAAGUCCCGCAACGAGCGCAACCCUUAUCCUUUGUUGCCAGCGGUUAGGCCGGGAACUCAAAGGAGACGUGCCAGUGAUAAACUGGAGGAAGGUGGGGAUGACGUCAAGUCAUCAUGGCCCUUACGACCAGGGCUACACACGUGCUACAAUGGCAUAUACAAAGAGAAGCGACCUCGCGAGAGCAAGCGGACCUCAUAAAGUAUGUCGUAGUCCGGAUUGGAGUCUGCAACUCGGACUCCAUGAAGUCGGAAUCGCUAGUAAUCGUAGAUCAGAAUGCUACGGUGAAUACGUUCCC